UAAGAAUUAGUUAAAAUAUAACAUAAAUUUGUCAAAUUUAAAUUAAAUUUCUUAAUUUAUUCUUAU
rnacentral:tRNA from 1 species